UCAUUCUUGGUAUUUUGUAUGUUUCAAAGAAUUUUUUAUUUAUUCGAGGUUGUCCAGUGUGUUGGCCUAUAUCUAUUCAUAGUAGUCUGUUAUAAUUGUUGGUAUUUUUGUGGUAUCAGCUAUCUCAUUUAUCAUUUAGUUGAUUUGGAUAGUCUAAUUUUUCUUUGGGAAUCUAGCUAAAGGUAUGUCAGUUUUAUUUAUUUUUUCAAACUCUUAGUUUGGUUCAUCCUUUCGACUGCUUUCCUGUUCUCUAUUCCAUUUGUAUCUGCUCUUUUUUUUUCUUCCUUAUAUUUCCUUUAGGUUUGGUGUAUUCCUCUUUUUCUAGUUCCUUAAGGCAUAGAGUUAGCCCAUGUGGGAUCUUCAUGUAGGCAUCUGUUGUUAUAAACUUCCAUGUUAGGAAUGCUUUCACUGCUUGUUUUAAGUUCGUGUAUGUUGUUAUGCUGUUUUGGGGGUUGAAAUAAACUUUAUUUCCCCUUUAUUUUCCUCUUCUAUCCAUUAGCUGUUCAGGAGAAUGUUGUUUAAUGUCUAUGUAUUUGUGAAUUUUCCAGUUUUCUUAUUGUUUUCAUACUGUGGUCUGAGAAAAGACUUGGAGAAUUCAAGAAAGUAAGGCUUGUUUUGUGGCCUCAGAUAUGUUCCAUUGUAGAAAGUGUUUCAUGCAUGCUUGCAAGGAAAGUAUAUUCUGUUGUCAGACUCCUGUGUAUAAAGGUUUCACCCACAAUCCAGAAGUUUGCACUAACCACAAAAAAUCCAAAUAGAAUUAUCACUUUUAUAAAAUGGUAAUUAGGGGAUCCCUGGGUGGCUCAGCGGUUUAGCACCUGCCUUUGACCCAGGGCGCGAUCCUGGAGACCUCGGAUCAAGUCCUAAGUUGGGCUCCCAGCGUGGAGCCUGCUUCUCCCUCUGCCUGUGUCUCUGCUGCUCUCUAUGUCUAUCAUAAAUAAAUAAACAAACAAACAAAUAACUAAAUACAUAAAUAAAUAAAAGUAAGUAAGUAAGUAAAAUCUAUAAAAAUAGUAAUUACAUCUUCACUUUAUACCAUUUCUGCUUAUUAAAGGUUUCUUACUUUGGUGUGUGGGUCUUGGGAAGGGUUGGUAUGUAUUAGGUCAAUUUGAUGUACAGUGUUGUUAAAAUCUUUUUUAUCAUCAAUUCUCUAUCUGGACUGUCUCUUCAUGGUCAAGAGUAGAUUGUUAAAAUCCCCUUAUCAUAGUGCUGUUUAUUUCUCCUUUUUGCUCUGUUAGUUUUUGCUCUAGAGAUUUAGGCUGUUCCAAUUUUGCAUGCACAGAUAUUUACAAUUAUUAGAUCUUUAGGAAUUUAUCCUUUAUCAUUACACAAUGAUUAUCAUUUUCAGUUUAAAGUCUAUUUGGUAUGAGUGUAGCUACCCCUUUGCUGUUUUUAUCUUGGUUGAAAUAUUUUUGUUUUUACCUUUACUUGAAAUAGCUUUUUCCAUCUCUUCACUUUCUGUCCUCGUAUAUCUUUAAUGCUAAUGUGAGGUUCUUUAGGCAGGAUAUCAUUGCUUGUUGUUUUCUUAUCCAUUCAGUCAUUCUGUCUUUUUGAUUGAAGAUUAUAUCUCUGUAGUAAUUAUUGUCUUGUACAUCCAUUAAAGCAGCAGAUAAAAAGCAAAGAACAUUUUGUGUUUUUAUGUCUUUUCACAUCAGUAUACUUUCAUUAACUUAAUCAUGUUCUUUUGUGAAAUUGCUACCAGAUUUUCCCUUGUGUUUAUCAUGAGGUUUACAUUAAAAUAAGUUAAAAUUAUAUAACUCUAUUUUAAGGUGAUAAUUUCAAUACAGUUCUUAAACUUUUACUUCUCUUCCUCCAUAUAUUUUAGGUUACUGAUGUUACAAUUUCCCCCAUUUUUUUCUUGCAUAACUAGUAAAAGACUAUUGCAGUAAUUUUUAAAAUAUUUACGUUAGAGAUUGUGAGAGAAGCAAGUGAGGGGAGGGGCAGAGGGAGAGAAUCUUCAAGUAGACUCCCCAUAAGCACUGAGUCCAACACAAGGCUCAAUCCAGCGACCCGUGAGAUCAUGAGCUGUGCUGAAACCAAGAGUCAGACCCUUAACCCACUAAGCCACCUAGGUGCCCCGGUAGUAAUGUGCAUGCUUAUUACAUUCACUUUUAACUUUUAAGUUAGACUAGAAAAUUAAUGGUGCACCACCAAUACCAUGUUAAAGAACAUAAAUCUAUUUACCAUCAAAAAUGAGAUUUAUGCAGUUUUCUUCUAUUUUUACAUUACUUAUUUCUACUCAGAUCUUUUUACAAGCUCUUGUAUCAAGCAAAUCUCAUGUUAAGUUUGUUUGGAAAUGUCUUUAUUCCUUCUUUAUUUCUGAAGGACAGCUUUACUCGGUACAGAUUUGAUUUUCUUAUUCCAUUUUCUCCUGGCCUGAACACUUGAAAAAUUCCCCAAUUCUUACUGGUUGUUACCUUGUUCUUUUCUUCUCUAUUUUGCUGCUUUUUAAAUUAUUUCUUGUACUUAGAUUUUUGGCAAUGUAAUGAAAUAUGUCUCGGUAUAGCCCUGUUGACUGCAACCUUUCAGCUACUUUAGGCCUCAUAGAUCUGAAUGUUUAAUUCUCCCCCUGGGUAUGGAAAAUUUUACGCCAUUAUUCUUUUAAAUGUACCUUCUAUCCUCUUCCCUUCUAGAUUUUCUUUUUAUUGUGUUUCAUAGUUCCCUCGGGCUUUCUUUGUAUUUUUGUUCUUCUGGAUUGGAUAAUUUCAAAUGUUCUAUCUUCUAGUCACUGGUUCUUCUGCAUGGUUGUAUCUAAAGUUCUCUAUUGAACAUAAGAUUUCUGUUUUUGUGUUGUUGCUUAGGGUUUCUGUUAUCUUGUUAUGUUCAUGCAAUUUUCCUAAUUUCAUUUCAGUUGUCCUAUGUUCCCUGUAAGCUAGUCAAGCCCUUUCUGUAUUCUUAACUCAAGCUGACCCACAACCCGAGUUCUGUGACUGAACAGGGUUACUGACUUUGCACUGCACACUGUUAGCACUUACUGUUCAGAUCUUGCCUUGAGCAUUGCUGGGUCAUACAGCUUCCAGGUGUUGUUGCUAGCCCUCUGCUCAGAUGGGGCCAAGAGCCAGGCUUUGUUGUGUGUGGCUUUGUUUUAAUUCCAUGUUUGGGAGGAGUCACUCUAGGGAACUCCCAAGUUUUCCAAGCAGGUCUUCCAUCAGCAGGACCAGUAGCUACUCUCAGCUUCAAGUUAGGCUAUGGAUUAAUUCCCUUUCCUAGACCCAGCAGGGGAACACUCCUCUACUUGUACUGGGAAUGUCAGCUUUGCUUUCCCAACUCUCAACUGACAGUGUUUCAGGAUGUAAUCUCCUUGUACUUUUGGACACAUGGGGUUAGGGGCUACUCUCCUUCAAAGUGAGAGCUAUGGUUCACCUCUUCCCUGAGCAAGUAAGGUCUAGAGAUAGAAAAAUUACUUGUUUGAAAGCCCAAAUCAGGUCAACCUACACCUUUUUUUUUUUCUUUUUUUUUUUUUCUUUUUCUUUUUUUUUUUUUAUUGGUGUUCAAUUUACUAACAUACAGAAUAA
rnacentral:lncRNA from 1 species